rnacentral:rRNA from 1 species
CCUACGGGAGGCAGCAGUGGGGGAUAUUGCACAAUGGGGGAAACCCUGAUGCAGCGACGCCGCGUGUGGGAAGACGGUCCUCUGGAUUGUAAACCACUGUCCCCAGGGACGAAGAUGACGGUACCUGGGGAGGAAGCUCCGGCUAACUACGUGCCAGCAGCCGCGGUAAUACGUAGGGAGCAAGCGUUGUCCGGAAUUACGGGGGGUAAGGGGAGCGUAGGCGGGAUGGCAAGUUGGGUGUUAAAUCUACCGGUUCAACUGGUAGGCGCACUCAAAACUGCUAUUCUUGAGUGAAGUAGAGGCGGGUGGAAUUCCUAGUGUAGCGGUGAAAUGCGUAGAUAUUAGGAGGAACACCAGUGGCGAAGGCGGCUUGCUGGGCUUUUACUGACGCUGAGGCUCGAAAGUGUGGGGAGCAAACAGGAUUAGAUACCCGGGUAGUC